rnacentral:rRNA from 1 species
GCAUAUCAAUAAGCGGAGGAAAAGAAACCAACAGGGAUUGCCCUAGUAACGGCGAGUGAAGCGGCAACAGCUCAAAUUUGAAAUCUGGCUUCGGCCCGAGUUGUAAUUUGUAGAGGAUGCUUUUGGUGAGGUGCCUUCUGAGUUCCCUGGAACGGGACGCCAGAGAGGGUGAGAGCCCCGUAUAGUCGGCCACCGAUCCUCUGUAAAGCUCCUUCGACGAGUCGAGUAGUUUGGGAAUGCUGCUCAAAAUGGGAGGUAUAUCUCUUCUAAAGCUAAAUAUUGGCCAGAGACCGAUAGCGCACAAGUAGAGUGAUCGAAAGAUGAAAAGCACUUUGAAAAGAGGGUUAAAUAGCACGUGAAAUUGUUGAAAGGGAAGCGCUUGUGACCAGACUUGUGCCGGGCUGAUCAUCCAGUGUUCUCACUGGUGCACUCGACCCGGCUCAGGCCAGCGUCGGUUCUCGUAGGGGGAUAAAAGCUUCGGGAACGUGGCACCUUCGGGUGUGUUAUAGCCCGUUGCUUAAUACCCUUGUGGGGACCGAGGUUCGCGCUCUGCAAGGACGCUGGCAUAAUGGUCAUCAGCGACCCGUCUUGAAACACGGACCAAGGAGUCGAGGUUUUGCGCGAGUGUUUGGGUGUAAAACCCGCACGCGUAAUGAAAGUGAACGUAGGUGAGAGCUUCGGCGCAUCAUCGACCGAUCCUGAUGUAUUCGGAUGGAUUUGAGUAAGAGCGUAUAGCCUCGGACCCGAAAGAUGGUGAACUAUGCCUGAAUAGGGUGAAGCCAGAGGAAACUCUGGUGGAGGCUCGCAGCGGUUCUGACGUGCAAAUCGAUCGUCAAAUUUGGGCAUGGGGGCGAAAGACUAAUCGAACCAUCUAGUAGCUGGUUACCGCCGAAGUU